UCUCCGUUGGUGAACCAGCGGAGGGAUCAUUAAAGAAUUCUAUAACUCCCAAACCCAUGUGAACAUACCUUACGUUGCCUCGGCAGGUCGCGCCUACCCCGUAACGUCCUACCCUGUAGGACCUACCCGGUAGACGCGGGUAAGCCUGCCGGCGGCCCACGAAACUCUGUUUAAUAUUGAAUUCUGAACCUAAAACUAAAUAAGUUAAAACUUUCAACAACGGAUCUCUUGGUUCUG
rnacentral:misc_RNA from 1 species